UCUGCACAUAAACAGAAAAAAAACACUUAAAACAUUUUUGAUAAACAUUAGUUAGUGUUGAGAGUUUAUUCUUGUCAUUCUAGAUGUGAUCUACGUCAUAUGUCAAGAGCCCAGUUUUACAGACCACAUCCUGGAAGCCAUUGUUCAAUAUAUCAAGGAAAUGGGUACUGCUGUUAAAAUAGACACUUUGACACAUCUGCAGAUGUGCAGUUGCACCUGUGACUUCAAGUCCUUCACAAAAGAAAACCAAAGAAUUGUGUUCAAGAAUUACUUGUGAGUUGGAAGUCUUCAGGAACACCUUCAAACAUUUAAUUCACAUAUAGUAUUGCUCUGCAUAGCAUGUAUUUAAUAAAGCUUUCAAUUCAGAA